UACAGAGGUGGCAAGCGUUGUUCGGAAUUACUGGGCGUAAAGGGCGCGUAGGCGGUUCGUCAAGUCCUGUGUGAAAUCCCCCGGCUCAACUGGGGAACUGCACAGGAAACUAGCGGGCUUGAGUUCGGGAGAGGGAAGCGGAAUUCCGGGUGUAGCGGUGAAAUGCGUAGAUAUCCGGAGGAACACCGGUGGCGAAGGCGGCUUCCUGGACUGACACUGACGCUGAGGCGCGAAAGCUAGGGGAGCAAACGGG
rnacentral:rRNA from 1 species